rnacentral:lncRNA from 1 species
GAACUGGUCCGCAAAUGCCUUGCUCGCACUGAGCAACUGCGAACAGGGGCGAUUCUUUUAUUACACGUGUGUGAAUAACGUAAAUAGUUCUGUGCAAAAAUGCAGAUUUUUAUCGUUCUCUCUUUUGCAGAAAUUUUCUUUCUUGCUUGUAAAUUAUGCUAUCCCGUUAAUUAAUUUGUAAUAUGAGCAUAAUUUAUUGAAAUUUUUAUUUAUGUAAAACGGGUUUUAUUUUAAUUUGGUGAUAAGUUGGGGGAACUUGGAUUGCCGGUUGUAUCCAUCUCGCUCAUGAAUCCUUUUCUGCCAUUUGGUUCGGUACUAGAUUUACUGGGGUUCAUGCUCGUCUUUUGAAUAAACAUUUAGUGUUUUUUAUGGACAUGGUUCUUUUGAUUCAUGUCGUCGUCGUCGUUAUUAAUAUUUUUGAGGUGACCUUUAAAAUUUGUAUCAAUUUUGUGUUUUUUUAGGUGCAAUGGGCUUUGUUUUUUUCACUUCUUCAGCAGUGUUAUUUAUUUUCUCCUUUUGGGAAUCAUUCCAUUGUUAUUUGUUCCUAAAACUGUGUCAAAGACAAAUUUUUAGAUGAACAUAUCUUUCUCCCAUCUAACUGCUCAAGUUUUUAGAUCAAAAUAUCUUGAGUUAAGUCUCCCCAUUGACAAAAAUUGUACACGUAUUAGACGUUCGAUCCAAAAGCUAAUCCGGUCUACAUGUGAGGAGGCUUGUUGAAGACAAUAUUUGAAUUAAUAUACAUGGCCCUUCUUUAACAACUUAUGCCAUUAGACACGGUGGCUCAACAUUUUCUAUUGAGGAUGCCAUGUACUUACAGAAUAUAACAAGGCCUUUAGCAGUUUACCUGUAUCUGUAAUUCAGUUUAGCUGCUUCAACAUACUUUAAUUGCCUUUUCCUUUGUUUAUUUAAACUCAUUUUCUGCUGCUUUUUCUGUGUUUAUUGAGGAACAGGUGCUAGUUAACAGCCUUCUUAUCUUUCAGAUGUCCUAUAUCCACAUGUAUUUAGGGGCUCCAUUUUCUUGUAAUAUAAAUAUGCAGGCUACUAGACAUGCAGAGGUGGAAACAAUUGAUGUGCUACUUGAGCAGUGGAAGUAAGUUGGACAUUCAGGGGAAGAAGCUGCUUUGAAAUUCUCAAGAUGCACUCUUUAUGUUACAUGUGAGCGAUGCAUAAUGUGUGGAGCUGCUUUAUCGGUUAUUGGUAUGCUCAAGAAAGUUUAUUUGAAUAUAUUGUCGAGUUUGAUUGUUAUCUUUAAGAGAAGUGACCAUCUUAUGAUCUAUUAGGUAUCGAAGAAGUAUACCAUGGCUGUGCAGAUGAUAAAUUUGGUGGGGUGGGGAGCAAUAUUGUCGUUGCAUACAAAAAUCUCUGAAAAGCUCAAAUGUAUUGGAGGGAAUAAUGGCAUCUGAUGCUGUCAAUCUUCUAAGAAGCUUCUAUGAGCAAAGAAAUCCCAAUGGUAUGAAUAUAUUAUAAUUUUUAAUGACUGCAAUUUAACAAUUUUUGAACCUCAGAUUUCUCCUUAAAUUAGGAGAAAGAUUAACAUGGAAAAGG